UACGUAGGGAGCAAGCGUUGUCCGGAAUCAUUGGGCGUAAAGCGCGCGUAGGCUGCGGGGCAAGUCGGGUGUGAAAUCUCAGAGCUCAACUCUGAAACUGCACUCGAUACUGCUUUGCUCGAGGACUGGAGAGGAGAUUGGAAUUCACGGUGUAGCAGUGAAAUGCGUAGAUAUCGUGAGGAAGACCAGUGGCGAAGGCGGAUCUCUGGACAGUUCCUGACGCUGAGGCGCGAAGGCCAGGGGGAGCAAACGGGG
rnacentral:rRNA from 1 species